rnacentral:misc_RNA from 1 species
GAAGUGCGAUAAGCAAUGCGAAUUGCAGAAUUCCGCGAAUCAUCAGAUCUUUGAACGCAAAUGGCGCCAGAGGGAUAUCCUUCCGGCAUGUCUGUUUCAGUGUCUGAGAGGUUUCACCAUUAUCUUAAUGUGAUUGAUGAAUUUUGGAGUUGGCGUCAAACCCUCCUCCUAAACCUCAUCUCUCAUGAAAGAUGUUCGAGUGGAUCUUUUGGUCCAAGUAAGUGGUCACACACCUCGCAUGUAGUUUCAUUGGGAUCACCAGAUUAUCCGCAUGCUCGAAGUACACUCUCUCUUGUUAGUGGUAGCAAUACCAUUACAAGACACUCCACACCCUGCAUCUGAGACAGGCAAGAUCACCCGCUGAACUUAA